rnacentral:rRNA from 1 species
ACGAGUGCCCCAAGCGUUAUCCGGAAUUAUUGGGCGUAAAGGGUGUGUAGGUGGUUACGUUAGUCUUCUGUCAAAUCCUUCGGCUCAACCGGGGUCCUGCAGAGGAAACGGCGUGACUAGAGGAUGCGAGGGGUGAAUGGAACUCAUGGAGUAGGGGUGAAAUCCGUUGAUAUCAUGGGGAACACCAAAAGCGAAGGCAAUUCACUGGCGCAUUCCUGACACUGAAACACGAAAGCGUGGGUAGCGAACUGGA